AUUCCCCAGUUUUACCACAGAUAUACAAGCAGUUUUGUGUAGUCUGUCUUAUCUGGGGAUAUAUUAGAUAGUCCCGUUCCCUCCUCAGUAGGACUUUAUUUCUUCUGGGGCCUAUAAGUUGGACUGACAAU